rnacentral:rRNA from 1 species
GACGAACGCUGGCGGCGUGCUUAACACAUGCAAGUCGAACGAGAAUCACCGGAAGGAGUUUUCGGACAACGGAAGGUGAGGAAAGUGGCGGACGGGUGAGUAACGCGUGAGGAACCUGCCUCGGAGUGGGGGACAACAGCUGGAAACGGCUGCUAAUACCGCAUAAUGUAUUUGUGUCGCAUGGCAUGGAUACCAUAUUUUUUAUCUUUUCUGAGAUGGCCUCGCGUCUGAUUAGAUAGUUGGUGGGGUAACGGCCCACCAAGUCGACGAUCAGUAGCCGGACUGAGAGGUUGAACGGCCACAUUGGGACUGAGAUACGGCCCAGACUCCUACGGGAGGCAGCAGUGGGGAAUAUUGGGCAAUGGGCGCAAGCCUGACCCAGCAACGCCGCGUGAAGGAGAAGCUUUCGGGUUGUAACUUCUUUUACGGGAGAGCAGAGACGUACCCCUAGAUAGCCACGGCUACUACUGCACACCGCGUAUACUUAGUGGCAGCGUGUCCCGAUUACUUGGGUGUAAAGGCGGCACCGGGUGAGCAGUCAGGCGGAUGAGCUACCCACCGCUUGACUUCUUGUCCAGGCCCGAUCCUUGGCGUGCCAUUAGACUAGUUGCAUUGACGAAUC